rnacentral:rRNA from 1 species
GGUGCAUGGUUGUCGUCAGCUCGUGUCGUGAGAUGUGGGUUAAGUCCCGCAACGAGCGCAACCCCUAUUGUUAGUUGCCAUCAUUCAGUUGGGCACUCUAGCGAGACUGCCGGUAAUAAACCGGAGGAAGGUGGGGAUGACGUCAAAUCAUCAUGCCCCUUAUGACCUGGGCUACACACGCGCUACAAUGGCUGGUACAACGAGUCGCAAGUCGGUGACGACAAGCUAAUCUCUUAAAGCCAGUCUCAGUUCGGAUUGUAGGCUGCAACUCGCCUACAUGAAGUCGGAAUCGCUAGUAAUCGCGGAUCAGCACGCCGCGGUGAAUACGUUCCCGGGCCUU